GAGUUGCGCAGCUACACAUGCAAGUCGAGCGGUAGCACAGAGAGCUUGCUCUCGGGUGACGAGCGGCGGACGGGUGAGUAAUGUCUGGGAAACUGCCUGAUGGAGGGGGAUAACUACUGGAAACGGUAGCUAAUACCGCAUAACGUCGCAAGACCAAAGUGGGGGACCUUCGGGCCUCAUGCCAUCAGAUGUGCCCAGAUGGGAUUAGCUGGUAGGUGGGGUAACGGCUCACCUAGGCGACGAUCCCUAGCUGGUCUGAGAGGAUGACCAGCCACACUGGAACUGAGACACGGUCCAGACUCCUACGGGAGGCAGCAGUGGGGAAUAUUGUACAAUGGGCGCAAGCCUGAUGCAGCCAUGCCGCGUGUGUGAAGAAGGCCUUCUGGUUGUAAAGCACUUUCAGGGGGUUGGAAGUUGGUUUACUUACUGCU
rnacentral:rRNA from 1 species